AAACAGUCCUGAACGGUUUAUACGAGCAUGAGCAUAAAUUAUACGUUAAUGUGUAUGAUGAAAAGGUAAAUUCAAAUUUUAGAUUGUUGUAUAAAUGAAAAAUGAGUUGAUUGCCCUAAUACAAUGCACUGGUCAAUUUACAGGUUCUUAAGUGUUGGUAUAUGAAGAAUAGAUGUUUGCGUGAGGUAUACAACUAAAAUCUCAGAAUGGGCUAUUUAUGAAUAAUUACAUCAAACCAAUUAUUAAAAUCAUAUAAAAAUUUUGAAAACCAAAUGGAUUGGAACUAGCUAAUAAGUGUCAAUAAUUCGAAUUUGCCA